AACGCUGGCGGCGUGCCUAACACAUGCAAGUCGAACGAGAAAGGGGAGCUAUCCCUGAGUACAGUGGCGACCGGGUGAGUAACACGUGACUACCUACCCUUGAGUGAGGGAUAACCUCGGGAAACCGAGGCUAAUACCGCAUAAUAUCGUCAGAUCAAAGGAGAAAUCCGCUUUUGGAGGGGGUCGCGGCUGAUUAGCUUGUUGGUGAGGUAAUGGCUCACCAAGGCGAAGAUCGGUAUCCGGCCUGAGUGGGCGCACGGACACACUGGAACUGAAACACGGUCCAGACUCCUACGGGAUGCAGCAGUGGGGAAUUUUGCGCAAUGGGGGAAACCCUGACGCAGCAACGUCGCGUGGAGGAUGAAGCUCCUUGGAGUGUAAACUCCUUUCGACCGGGAAUAUAAUGAUGGUACCGGUGGAAGAAGCACCGGCUAACUCUGUGCCAGCAGUCGCGGUAAUU
rnacentral:rRNA from 1 species